rnacentral:rRNA from 1 species
CGGUUGAUCCUGCCGGACCCCACUGCUAUCGGGAUGGGACUAAGACAUGCUAGUCGUGCGCUUCCAAGCCACGGUGGAAGCGCGGCGCACAGCUCAGUAGCACGUGGCUAACCUGCCCUUGGGACGGAAAUAACCCCGGGAAACUGGGGCUAAUUUCCGAUAGGUGAAGACUCCUGGAAUGGAUCUUCGCCGAAAGGGCGUCUAGACCAUGCUUCUAGACGCUGCCCAAGGAUGGGGCCGCGGCCGAUCAGGUUGUUGGUGAGGUAACGGCUCACCAAGCCUUUGACCGGUGCGGGCCGUGAGAGCGGGAGCCCGGAGAUGGACUCUGAGACAUGAGUCCAGGCCCUACGGGGCGCAGCAGGCGCGAAAACUUCACAAUGCGCGAAAGCGUGAUGAGGGAACCCCAAGUGCUGGCUCGAAAGAGUCAGCUGUUUCCCUGCCCAAAAAGCAGGGAGAGUAAGGGCUGGGUAAGACGGGUGCCAGCCGCCGCGGUAAUACCUGCAGCCCGAGUGGUGGCCGCUAUUAUUGGGCCUAAAACGUCCGUAGCCGGCCUAGUAAAUGCCUGGGUAAAUCGUGAGGCUUAACCUCACGAAUCCUGGGUAGACUGCUAGGCUUGAGACCGGGCGAGGCUGGAGGUACUCCAGGGGUAGGGGUGAAAU